rfam:Dengue virus 2 isolate DENV-2/NI/BID-V645/2005, complete genome
AUGAAUAACCAACGAAAAAAGGCGAGAAGUACGCCUUUCAAUAUG